GAUGAACGGCUGGCGGCGUGCUUAACACAUGCAAGUCGAACGGUGAAGGAGGAGCUUGUCUCUUCUGGAUCAGUGGCGAACGGGUGAGUAACACGUGAGCAAUCUGCCCUUGACUCUGGGAUAACAGUUGGAAACAGCUGCUAAUACCGGAUACGAGACGUGACCGCAUGGUCAACGUCUGGAAAGAACUUCGGUCAAGGAUGAGCUCACGGCCUAUCAGCUAGUUGGUGAGGUAAUGGCUCACCAAGGCGACGACGGGUAGCCGGCCUGAGAGGGUGACCGGCCACACUGGGACUGAGACACGGCCCAGACUCCUACGGGAGGCAGCAGUGGGGAAUAUUGCACAAUGGGCGAAAGCCUGAUGCAGCAACGCCGCGUGAGGGACGACGGCCUUCGGGUUGUAAACCUCUUUUAGCAAGGAAGAAGCGAAAGUGACGGUACUUGCAGAAAAAGCGCCGGCUAACUACGUG
rnacentral:rRNA from 1 species